UACUAAGAAAAAAAAAAGAAAAAAGAAAAAAGAGAAAAGACAGCACAAAGUUGUAACUGCCUUCUGGGUAACUGUGUUUUGGAUGGUGUCAUUUUUCUUAUGACAUAAACUCCCAAAUGGCACAGACGCUGUCUCUUAGAAUAAAUAGCAACUAGCAGUAGGUCAUGCCUCCUGUGGGUUUCUGAUAAGUAUUGUUUGGUUGUAUGCUGUUUAUCACAAAGAGAACAGAUACUAUUGUCAGACAGGCUCAUGAGGGGCUUUUUGCAAGAAGGAGAGAAGUCCCCUACAACUUUUACAAUUCUGUGUCCUGUCCUAACUAAUGAGAGAUGAAUCACCUGGGCUGACAGAGCAGGAGCCGGGGAUCUGCUCUCCCUUCACUGACCUCUCAGCAGAGAUGAUUCAACGUGCAGGUGUCGGGGCGCCGCUCAGGCUUGGCUCAGGAAGAAGCGUCUGGAAGAGUGCCAGUGAGAGUCCACCUGCGAGAUGGUUGAGGACCCAGAGACGGGAGGGUGCAGUGGUGGGGGGGAGGUUUCCAUAUCUGCUGGCUUUAACAAGAUGAAGCCAUUGACUGAGUUUCUCCUACAACUCCUGGUUCUCCCUAGGGGGGUGCCGGUUUCUACUACAAGGGAUAGACGGAGUUGCUUGUCAUAAUUAAAACAUCUCAGGGGAGUGCAUGCCUUUGUGUGUGUGUUGGUUUUCCUUUCUUUUCUUUUUAUUUUUUUGGAAGCUACUCAAUUAGCUGGGUCCCAAGGGAGUGUGGAGCACCGGGCUGCCCAGCUUAGGAGGGGACACAGCACCUAGCCUCUUGCAUUUCCGUUUCUGAAACACACUGCUCCCUGUAGCCAGUUGGCGGAUUCCAUCUGAGCAGCUAGAGGAGGCUGAGAGAACUUGGACACUCCCUUUGGAGCUCUCUGGCAAUUCCUAGCCUCUGAGCCUGCUCCGAUGAAAGCAUGGGGGAGGCCCCACAGCCCUGUAUAAAACUCUAGGAGUAGGCCAGCAGAAGAAAACAUGAGGGUCAUUGGCCUGGAGAUUGGAGGGAAUUUGCUGAGAGAUUUGUGUGUGCGUGUGCGUGUGCAUUUGAGCCCAUGUCCCUGGCACAAGGGAAAUUAACCAGACUCUGCCUAUGUGGGAAUUCUGCAUGGCAACCUAAUCAAGGCUUAGUUUUUCAUUAAAAUUUCCAUUAAUACUAGAGCUGUUUAGAGCAAGUUGAGUGGGAAUAUCUGUAAUGCACCUUCCCCCCCUGCCCCUGUUACCAAUCUGAGGAUCACGGAGAGGUCGUGUACUUUUGCUGGGGCUAGUUCUAAUCUCACCAACAUUAUUAUCAUUGUCCCCAGCACCCAUGACACACAGCGGGUGAGGUCCGGAGAGGAUCACGCAGAGCCUGCCCUUGUUUGAGGUGCCGGACAGGAAAUGAGUAAAAGAGGAGGCCUGUAGAAGUGUGAAGAACGGCGACAUCUCAUGGGGCGGACUUGGCUUUUCAGCACUGAGAUGAGCUGCUCCUCGCACCCCC
rnacentral:lncRNA from 1 species